CAAUAGCGUAUAUUAAAGUUGUUGCAGUUAAAAAGCUCGUAGUUGGAUUUCUGGUCGGAAGCUCCUGUCCUCUGAUGAGCGUACAAGUGCGUCCUACCAUCCUUCUGUUAACCUUUAAGGCUUUCGCGGCUUUCUAGGGGCUCAGAUAUUUUACCUUGAGAAAAUUAGAGUGUUUCAGGCAGGCUAGCGCCGGAAUACAUUAGCAUGGAAUAAUGGAAUAGGACUUUUGCCUCUUCUGUUGGUCAUGAGGCUCGAGUAAUGAUUAAUAGGGAUAGUUGGGGGCAUUAGUACUUAACUGUCAGAGGUGAAAUUCUCGGAUUUGUUAAAGACUAACUUAUGCGAAAGCAUUUACCAAGGAUGUUUNCAUUAA
rnacentral:rRNA from 1 species